GGGGGAGAGGUCAAGGGCAUCACAACUGAUGAGCAGGCCUUUAAGUCUCCCACCAGUUAACCCAAGAAAUGUCCAGGGAGAUUCCGAGGGGUGGGACAGGUGGUAUACGAAAGGUAGAUAAGGGGAGGAAUGCAGAGCUACAGGAAGUCAGUGUGUGGAAAGAUAGGGUCAUCCUGGUGACCUCAUGCUGUGACCACAACCAGUGUCCGGAACAGGACCUCAGGCAGUUCCUUGACUCCCAGCACGUCUGUCUUCUCCGUCAGACAGUAUAAUCUUUCAGUUUUCUUUUCUUCAAACGUCUCAAAGGGAUGGCCCCACCUCUCUUCCCUCUGUCUUGCAGGUCUUCAUUUGACGCUACUUCUCCCCCACAGCAGUGACUCAGCUGUCAGGAACCCAAGCGGAUGGCCCAAACCCAGACCCAAAGAUGGACUGCUUCCUCCAGCCCUUCCCCCUGGAGGACCUGAGAGAUGAAACAAAGGAGAGGACCAAGUCUUAGUUUGAGAGUGGCAGUGGGCCUUGUGAGUCCUGAGCCUUCCCUUCUGUAUCUCCCGUACUAUGCUAAAUCGAGGAGAAGGACAGUGAGCCCCGUUCCCCUGACUUUACUCUUAGGAUGCAGGUCAGCUAGUUAGUGGCAAUCCAGGAAUGUCUCCUACAUUCCAGGUUCCCGGGAAGCUUCGCCAGGGUGACUUAGCAGUGAAAGGUACCAUUGUGUUCUAAGUUGGCCUUCAGUAGUGUGGCCAGUCAUUCCAGGCCUUGGCAUGACUCGACUGGGCUGGAACCCUGGGGCACAGGACUGGGGUCUUUUCCAGAGUGGGGGUUCCAUGACUUUCAUCUUGUCCAGGCUGGUCUCUCAUUUUGGCAUUGUGUUUCUGCUUGCACCUACAGUUGUGGGUACCACAGGGACUGAAGCUGUUGUUGGAAUGGUAACUCUCGUCCUUGUCAGAGCGUCGCAGGCUUUCCUGGGUGGUCUCCAUCCGGCCAACUCCUUGCUUUUGUUCAUUCAUCGAUGUGUGCAGGGGAUUCUCCAAUUCCCCCUUCCCAAGUAGAGGUCAGAAGAGGGUAUCAGAUCCCCUGGAGCUGGUGUUGCCGGUGGUUAUAAGCUGCCCGAUGUGGGAACCUGGAACCGAGCUCUGAUCCCCUGAAAGAAUAGCAAGCCAUCUUCUGAGCCAUCUCUCUAGCCUCCAUUUUAAAUAGACCAGGAGGUCUUAGACUCAGAGAUCCACCUGCCUCUGCCUCCCAAGUGCUGGGAUUAAAGGUAUGUGCCGCUAUCACCACCACCCAGCUUUUUAGAGAUAGAUUCCUUAUUGAGGCUUUAAUAGAGCAAAGGGUAGGAAAUACCCUCCCAUCUCCAUGCUAGAAACAACAAUCCUUCAGGGUUUACGCUCUGGCCUUUUUCUUUGACAGUUACUUUGAGCUGGGGCUGAGUAUGGAGGUGCCUGCUGCAAGCCGGUUUGCGUUAACUGAAGGAAAAGGGAAGAAUUGGAGACAGAAGGCAGAGAGAAUAGGUUUUCCUGCUUCUGCUUACAUUACCUGUCAAAGUAAUUCAAAAGGGAGGCUAAGCUGUUUCACCCUCUGUCAAGGCAAUAUUCUGAGGAAUUUACCUUUCUCAUUUAUUUCUUUGUUUAUUUAUCACAUGUAUGCAUGUGUGUGUGUGCAUGUACAUGCACAAGCAUACAUAUAGAGGUCAGAGGACAACCACAGGAGUUAGUUCUCUCCCUCCACCAUUAUAUAUCCCAGGAAUCAAACAAAUUUAGGCCUUAGCUUUGGCAGCAAGCCAUCUCAUCAUCCCAGAAUUUACUGAAUAACAGUAAAGUCACAAGCUAUGGCAGAUUUUCCAUUUCUUUGAGCCUGACCUGGGGAAGUUUUUGCGGUGUCCAUCGGUCCGAGGCAUGGGAGUCCUUGCCAUGACAACGCCUAUGUCAACAACACACAUUAACUCAGGACUGCAUCUGACCUUACACACUCAUUCAGAGCUCCCUCUGACCCCCACAAUUGUUCCCUUCUCCAACUAUGGGGUGCUCAAGGAAUGUGGUAUUCAGGAAGGAGAAUCUUCAAAUUGUGAAUGGACAAUCUAUGAUAUUGAUCUGUGUAGAUGAAAUCCUGGUUCCUCGAGUCAAGAUGUUCUUUAAGUGUCCUCUCAAAGGAUAUAAGCUCUUGGGUGUUGAUUAAUUAAGAAGUAUGAGAUUUGGGCUGGAGAGAUGGCUCAGCGGUUAAGAACACUGAUGCUCUUGCAGAGGUCCUGAGUUCAAAUCCCAGCUCACAACCUCACAAGCCACAGGAUGGCUAACAACUGUUUGUAACUCUAGUUCCAGGGGAUCCAGCAACUACUUUUGGCCUUCGUGGGCACCUGGGAGCAUGCGGUGGACAUUCAGACAGGUGGACUUGUCUGUGUGCAUCAUACAUGUACACAUAGAAUAUUUAAAAGACAGACUAUAUGCCAACAUGUAGUCCCAUGCAAUUAUAUGAGGCACACACACACACACCACACACACACACACACACACACACACACACACACAUACACAGACACACACACGAGAAAACGGAGUUAUUUCACAGGGGAAUGAUAAUAUGGUAAUAUGGUAAUAGUUUCUGAUCCUCAUUUGGUUACAAUUUCUGGGUAUGGCUUUUCUUUUGCUUGGCUGUCCUGGAGCUCACUCUGUAGACCAGGCUAGCUUCAAACUCAGAGAUCUGCCUACUUCUGCCUCCUGAGUGCUGGGACUAAAGGCAUACGCCGCCACACCCAGCUAUUGGAAAAAAAAAAAAAGAAAGAAAUGAGGACACGCUGCCCCUAGGGUUGAGGAGAAGGAUAUUGUAGACAUGGGGGAGAAAACAGCCAGAGGCAUCUGGAACCAGACCAAGAGAGGAGGGGUUGGGGUAUGCCAUCCCAGAUGACUCUAACGGGUAUUAGUCAGUGGGACUGAGGGAGAUUGGCAGCUAAAUUCUGCUUAGUUAAACAGACAUCAGUUACUCUUGUGCUGGGUUUGAGAUCUAACUGCUAUCAUGUUCUUUUCAAGUCCAACUUUACUCUUUGACCCUAUGUUCUCCCUGGUGCUAGAGGUUGAAGCCAGGGCCUUGUACCGCUACCAAGUGGGAGUCUUUACCACUGUGGUACAUUCCAGUCCUCUGCUGGUAUUCCACUCAGUAAUCAUGGAGGGAAAAAAUGGAAAUGAAGUCCUGGAACUUCAAAGUUAGAAUAGCAACAAAAUAGAUCCACUGCCUUGCCUGAAGAGUUGUCCAUAGAUUGCAGCUAUCAACAGGGUAUACAACAAUAAAAAAAAAGAUGGGGUGAGAAGAAAACCCAGGCCAUAAAGCAUUUGCCAUGCCAGCCAGCAUGAAGACCUCAGUCUGAUCCCUAGAAAUCAUAUUCAAAACAGGCAUGGUGGUUCAUGGCUAUAACCCCAGCUCUGGGAGGCAGAGACAGGAAGGUCUGGUGAGACCCUGUCUCAAAAAACAAACUAAACCCAAACAAAAACCAAACAGGAUAUAUACCUGAGGAACAGCUUAGGAUGACCUCUGGAAUCCACGUACACACAAUUGGUACCCUAGCCCCUGCUAGGUAAAAUUUCAAAGAAUUUUAGAAGAAUGACUCUUAGGGCAGAUGGUAAGAACACAGAGAGAGAUAUAAGUCACUAAGUAAGAGUUUAUCGCUCCUACUGCAGGGUGAGGGUUCUGAUUCAAUUGCCCGAAUCACCUGCCAGGAUUUCCCUCCUGCUCAUCACAGGUGUCUACUGUACCAAGGAACUGAGCACCUGUGAUCCCAGCACUAAAGAGGAAAUGGGAAGAAACGAGGGCCAAGGUUAUCCUCAGCCCUACUUUUGAGGCUAGCCUGGGCUAUAUGGAACUCCGUUUCAGGGGGAGUUAAGAAAAAAAGAUGUAGGGUUGGAGAGAUGGCUCAGUGGUUAAGAGCACUGACUGCUCUUCCAGAGGUCCUGAGUUCAAAUCCCAGCAGCCACAUGGUGGCUCACAACCAUCUGUAAUGGGAUCUGAUGUCCUCUUCAGGUGUGUCUGAAGACAGCAACAGGGUAUACACAUACAUGAAAUAAAUAAAUCUUAAGAUCUUAGAAAGAAAGAAAGAAAAGAAA